CCUACGGGUGGCAACAGUGGGGAAUAUUGGACAAUGGGCGAAAGCCUGAUCCAGCCAUGCCGCGUGUGUGAAGAAGGCCUUCGGGUUGUAAAGCACUUUCAGUGGGGAAGAAAGCCUUGGGGCUAAUACCCUCGAGGAAGGACAUCACCCACAGAAGAAGCACCGGCUAACUCCGUGCCAGCAGCCGCGGUAAUACGGAGGGUGCGAGCGUUAAUCGGAAUUACUGGGCGUAAAGCGCGCGUAGGCGGUCUGAUAAGCCGGUUGUGAAAGCCCCGGGCUCAACCUGGGAACGGCAUCCGGAACUGUCAGGCUAGAGUGCAGGAGAGGAAGGUAGAAUUCCCGGUGUAGCGGUGAAAUGCGUAGAGAUCGGGAGGAAUACCAGUGGCGAAGGCGGCCUUCUGGACUGACACUGACGCUGAGGUGCGAAAGCGUGGGUAGCAAACAGGAUUAGAUACCCUUGUAGUC
rnacentral:rRNA from 1 species